AUUGAACGCUGGCGGCAGGCCUAACACAUGCAAGUCGAGCGAGCGGCGGACGGGUGAGUAAUGUCUGGGAAACUGCCUGAUGGAGGGGGAUAACUACUGGAAACGGUAGCUAAUACCGCAUACCAUCAGAUGUGCCCAGAUGGGAUUAGCUAGUAGGUGGGGUAACUGCUCACUUAGGCGACGAUCCCUAGCUGGUCUGAGAGGAUGACCAGCCAACGUGGAACUGAGACACUGUCCAGACUCCUACGGUAGGCAGCAGUGGGGAAUAUUGCACAAUGGGCGCAAGCCUGAUGCAGUCAUGCCGCGUGUGUGAAGAAGGCCUUCGGGUUGUAAAGUACUUUCAGCGGGGAGGCGUUACCCGCAGAAGAAGCACCGGCUAACUCCGUGCCAGCAGCCGCGGUAAUUC
rnacentral:rRNA from 1 species